GUUUCCGAGAAUCCCGCUGAGUCUGAACCUGGAGGCAAAGCUGAUCACUCUUUUUCAGUUCAUUUCACAAAGACAUGCAGAAGAGUAUUUAAGAAGAAGAACAAUGAAAAGAUGAUAAAGGAGAUGAGCAAAGAUGAACAAAACAUUUGCUUAUCGACGACACAAAAUCAUUAUGAUCAGUGUCCAUGUGUGCAAGACAUGAAGGAACGAUGGACAGCCCUGUUUCAACCUUCUCAAGUGAAUGCAGAAUUUCACAGAAUAACCACUGUGCAGCUGGAACCUAAAUUAGUCCUCAUUGGAUCUUCACACUCCCAAGCUGUUGACAACUGUUUCAUCCAAAGGAGGAGCACUCGGAGAAAGACUGAAAACUGAGAUGGAACUACUGAAGGAUGAGCAGUGUUCUGUUUAUGACGAGAGGUGGUCAUCAGCUGCAUUAUAGAAUUUCUUGGGUAACAUGCAGGAGACCUCAUCAAAGAAUUGAAAGUCAAUGAGAACCAGAAAGGAAUUGAACCGCUUGUGAUGGCAGUAAUUGUGACUAAGAAGGGAACUUCGAUUGACAGUCCAAAGGACAUUGGAAUUAUUAUAAAGGGGGAGAAAGUUGUUACAAGCCUUGAAGGUGUUCCCAGGGCUUGCUAUGUCCUCCUUGGUUUGACGUAUGCACUGAAUCUCCAUUAUCCCAGGCAUCUAAAGUAUACUUUGAGGUAUUUCAGAAACUUAUCUUGGAGCUGGAUGUUUCAAAGCUGUCAAACAGAGUCUAGUCACUCAGGUCUAAGCUGCUAACUUAAAAUAAGAUGGUUUUAUCUGUUCUGUAGUUCCAUGUUGCCAAACAAAGACCUCACAUGUUUGAACCUUUUGUCUAGAAAGAGAAAAGUGACAAAAAAAGCAACUUCAUUGUGUAUUAAACUAUUUGUACCUAAAAAGAGACUUUGUUUUGCAGACCUGAAUGUAUAUGCCUUAGAAAGUAAUUGUGGAUAA